rnacentral:misc_RNA from 1 species
UUUCUGCAUCUAUACCUGCUAUGGAGCUGGUGAGGGAGUUCGGAGAUCCCCAUGUGCUGUUUCUUGCCGAAGAUCAUGUCGUCCUCAAACUGCACACUGCUUGGCCGAGGGACGUGGCAGUCCCAGAAGGACUCUCGCUCGCCGACGACAACCGUCGCCUCCUGAUCGCGAACCAGAGAUCCUUGGUUUCUGCAGCGAAGAGCGGGUUUCCACGCGAGGCGAGGAUAUUGAAGGCCCUGUUUUGCGGUUGCGCGUCCUUCGACUCUGCGGACCGCUACGCCAGCGCAGCUAGCAAGCUGCUCCGAGACACCCAUGAGAUAUGCAUCGUGCACAACAGGGACAAGGUGUACAAGCUGGUACGCAUGUUCCCGAACGUGAGAGCGCUGGCUCUGCUACACGACUGUUGCGAGCACGGAUUAGAAUUUGACGAGCCGCUCACGGACCCCUCUGUACCGCUGGUGGAGCGAAGUCAGCUGAGACAGCUGGUCGGCAGCGCGGGCUGCAUAUACGACGGGUACCUUAUUAUGACUCGCGCGACCACGCUGGCACUCCUUCACACCUGCCCUGACGUGCGCCGCAUCGACAGCCAAUGGGUCGCGCAUUGCAUCAUGGGGCCGCACAGCGUGGCCACCUCGAAGCGACUCCCAAAAGCCAAGGAUUUCAGCCACCUCUGGGUGUUCUCUUUGGAUGAAAAGUCAAGCAGAUGCCUACCGAUGGCUACUGACGUGGCACUUGCUGCGAAAAAAUUUCCCUCCGUCGAAAUGUUGCAGGUGUCUGUGGGCACGCUGAAAGCGCUCGCCGAUCUCUCAGCGUUUGGCAACCUCCGCCGUCUCAAGCUGGGAUUAUAUCCGUUCUUUGGCUUCACCGAUGUGGAUCCGGUACUCAAGCAGCUGCUCACAAGGUGGCCGCGGCUCGAAGAAUUGGCCCUGAAGAAUUGCGGCGGUGUGCGGCUCUCCACAAUCGCGAAACUGUGUCCGAUGAUCAGGGUCCUGAAGCUAAGAGGCGGCGUAGGAUCCAUCGAGGACAUUCCAGUGGACGCCCACGCAUUCCCUAAUCUGGAAUGUGUCGAGAUUAGUAUGAAGCUCCUGAGGCGCACGUCCUACCCAUUCUUGUCUGCCAUCCGGGACACGCUACGUACCGCGAGCUUCGGUGACGACGAAAUGUGCUUCGAGUUCCUGCAAUUCUGCAUUCACUACGGCCGACACCUGCCAUUUCCGCGCCUCGAACACCUGACCUUGGACACGAAAUUGUCACUGCGUAAGUUGGAACUUGAGCCUGGGAAGCUGCACGACGCAUUGAAAGCCCUGCCCGCGCUUCGACACCUGGAGACGGACAGUUACGACUUGCGACUGUUCUUCGAGAAUUACUGCGUUCCACGUGGUCGGCUGUCCCUGUCCUGGAUCGGAUGCGUCUACUGCGAUGCUCACAAUCCAGAACUGGCUAGGAGAUAUAAAGAAAUGCUGGCCACCGUCGCAAACGAUUCUGUUCAGGCUAAGUAAGGGAUACUACUGAUCAGUGUGACGGACAGUCUGUAAAGUGACAGCGUUGCGCAAAUUUGGGUAGGAUGAGCCACCGAUGGAUGUGUUUUACCCAUCCUCGAAUCGUUCCCCGCUUGCGCUUACUUCCAAUGGGCACCUGUGAACGCUUUGACGAUCUCCGUGAACCGGACGUUUUCGCUGGUGAAACAGGAGAUGAGCAACAAUGUGUCACCAGGCCUUAAUAUCAUGACACAUUACAUAAUUUAUCCCUCGCGCAAAGUGCUUGUUCAGCAAACGUUUGACUUACGCCAUGCUUUUAUUUUUGAACAAGACGGGAGUGCUUUAUUUCUGUCAUGCACCGAAAGUCACGGUGGAGCGAAAGGCCAACAACCUGGCAAAAGCUUACAGAUAAUGUUUAAGCAGUUUGCAAUUCAAAGCUACAAUUUUCAUGUGUGGCAAGAGCAUGCCACUGAGAAAAACGAAAAUCUUACCUCAAGAAAUUCUUUAAAAUAUUGUAUACAAACAAACAAGAAAAAGAAAAACAAAUGCAAGCACAUUCUAGUUCGGAUAUUCAUCCGCAACUUCUGGCGCAGACUGAUGGAAGUACCGAUUGAGCAUGCAAAUAAAUGUCCUGGUAGGUCUAUUAUUAAUUACAUUCACUUUCUAGUAAACCAAUUCUGCCGCGGGACUUCGAUUUGCUGAUGGGAAAAUAAACCUCACAGGCUCGCCCAAACGAUUUAACACUUUGAGAAUUGGUAGGAGAGCAAAGCUGUCCCGUUGAUGAAUCUUGUCGUUGUUACCUUAUUACGCUGAUUACGUAAGGAAUACCACUCGGUGGCCUGCUCUGCUGCAGGUAUAAUUGUUUUUUUUUGUAAAAACUAGAAUCUUGUAUUCGUAAAAUAAUUCCCGCAAAAUAAUCUAUUAGAUGAUAUGAACGCUAGAAAGGUGUGAAUAAUUCCACUGAGGCUACACUUCUAAUAAAUCAAUGGAAAAGUAGAGGUACAAGUUAUGGGUAAGCAAAAAAUGUGUUCGAAAGACUGUGUAUAUGCCUCGAGCCAUGUUUGGUGUUUCCGCGAUUCACGGCGUUGCUCCGCUGAACCGCGGUGAUCAAGCGUCUUUUGAAUACCUUGCCACGGAUGAGUGUAAAUUGGUCCCACUGGUGCAAAUUCCGCCACUUUAAAAAUCCACAAUAUCUAUCCAAUAAUGACCGCUAUUCUUCCAGCAUCUUCCUAACGCCUUACAGUAGUAGUGUAGCCAACGUCAAAAUAGUUUCAACGUUCAACCUAUACAUAAGCUUUUCGGGAAAAGUGCGAACUAAUGGAAAUAGGAACUAAUGUAUGAAAUGGUAUGUAGCUUGCAAUAAUGGAAAGCAAUAACUUCCCCUGCGUUUUCAAAUAUCAGAUAUAAUAUCGAAAGUUUUCCUCAAUGACGUGAUGCAUGCAAUGCGCUUGCACAUUGUACCAGGAACACUUCAUUUAUACAUAAUUAUACUGGUAUCACUAAUAUUGCAUUGUGCAAUAUGGUAUGUCUACACUGUGCCUUUGAAUUUUCGAGUGCAUGUGCGCGUGUGUGAAAAAUCGUUCAAAAUAUUUC